GACGUAGGGCGCGAGCGUUGUCCGGAUUUACUGGGCGUCAAGGGCGCGUAGGCGGCCACCGCAAGUCGACUGUGAAAUCUCCGGGCUUAACCCGGAAAGGUCAGCCGAUACUGCGGGGCUAGAGUGCAGAAGGGGCAACUGGAAUUCUCGGUGUAGCGGGGAAAUGCGUAGAUAUCGAGAGGAACACCUGCGGCGAAGGCGGGUUGCUGGGCUGACACUGACGCUGAUGCGCGAAAGCGAGGGGAGCGAACGGG
rnacentral:rRNA from 1 species